CAACCUCAACUCAUAUGGGACUACCCCCUGAAUUUAAGCAUAUUAAUUAGGGGAGGAAAAGAAACUAACAAGGAUUUUCUUAGUAGCGGCGAGCGAAAAGAAAUCAGUUCAGCACUAAGUCACUUUGUCUAUAUGGCAAAUGUGAGAUGCAGUGUACGGAACAUCAACAUUCUAGUAUGAGAAGUUAACGAUUUAAGUCCUUCUUAAAUGAGGCCAUUUACCCAUAGAGGGUGCCAGGCCCGUAUAACGUUAGGAUUACUAGAUGGGUUUCCAAAGAUUUUUGUUGCUUGGAUAUGGAGUCCCUAGUGGGGUGGUAAACCCAUCCUAAACUAAAAUAUAACCAUUAAACCCAUAUUAAACAAGUCCCCUUAGGGGAAAUUCAAAAAAACUCCUGAAUAGAGAAGUAAAUUGUACCCGCAAACUCCCCAUAAAGGUAACCCCCCAAUAUACUCUAAAAAUCCCCUUUAUGGGUAAAAAUU
rnacentral:ncRNA from 1 species